rnacentral:lncRNA from 1 species
GACAAUAAUAAGUGAAAUCCCAAAGAAGAGAACAGAAAACUUCAAGCAGGCAAGACUUUAUCUGGCUGAUUCUAUAUACCUCACAUCAAGCACAUAGUGUAUGCUCGAAAAUGCUGAAUGGAUGAAUGAAUGAAGCAAUGCUUCCACAGAGCAGAUACAAUUUUUUUUUCAGCACAAUGGUCAGGGAACACUUAGUACAGGUACAAAUGACCAUACACACCUGAAGAGCCUCCUCAAGACUGCUUCACACACUGCGAUUAAUAUCCAUGUGUGUAAGAGCUCCCAUUGUGGCUCACCAGGUUAAGAACCCAGCUAGUACCUAUAAGGACUCAAGUUCAAUCCCUGGCCUUGCUCAGUGGGUUAAUGAUCCAGCGUUGCCGUGAGCCAUGGUGUAAGCUGAAGAUGCAGGUCAGAUUCUGCAUUGCUGUGGCUGGGGCAUAGGCCAGCAGCUGCAGCUCCUCUUCGACCCCUAGCCUGGGAACUUCCAUAUGCCAUAGGUGCAGUCCUAAAAAGACAAAAAAAAAAUUUUACAUUAAUAAUAUCCACGUGUGUAGCCAAGACAGCAAGGAAAAUUUAAACUGUGUUCAGUAAGCUCUCAAUAAGAUGGCCAAUGAUCACCUCUGGUUAAAUGUGGUAGAUGGAACACAUGUAUUUCUCUCUGCUCCCUUCUAAUAUUACUUAAAAUGAGAGUCAAGUGAUGUAUGUGUCUGUGAACUCGCAAGGAAAGAGGGAAAAGGAUCCACAGUGGGAAACAGAUGUCAGCCAAUAUUGGCAGGCUAGAGAGCAUCAGAUGAAAUGAUCAGAGCUGAUAAAGCAGAAGAGCAAGGGCCUGCAGAAGGGAACCAAGAAGCCAGCCAGGUCAGGCCUCAGAUCCCUGGAAAGACUCCAGAAAUCAGAGGCACUUGAACAAGGAGCAUGAAGAGGCGGGCUGCAAACAGAAGGAUUCGUUUAAAGUCUGUUAAGAUAAUAGUUAAAUUCUCAGAUUCCUUCUCCCACUUUGGCAGGAAACUAGAGGAAAUCAGGAGAGCA